UAAUACGUAGGGUGCGAGCGUUAAUCGGAAUUACUGGGCGUAAAGGGUCCGCAGGUUGUUUUGUAAGUCAGAUGUGAAAGCCCCGGGCUUAACCUGGGAACUGCGUCUGAAACUACAAGGCUAGAGUAUGGCAGAGGGGGGUGGAAUUCCGCGUGUAGCAGUGAAAUGCGUAGAUAUGUGGAGGAACACCGAUGGCGAAGGCAGCCCCCUGGGUCAAUACUGACGCUGAGGGACGAAAGCAUGGGGAGCAAACAGGAUUAGAUACCCUGGUAGUCCAUGCCCUAAACGAUGUCAACUAGUUGUCGGGCCUUUACGGGCUUGGUAACGUAGCUAACGCGUGAAGUUGACCGCCUGGGGAGUACGAUCGCAAGAUUA
rnacentral:rRNA from 1 species